UCCGUUUUGACAACGGCAGUCUCCCUAGAGUUCCCGGCAUGACCCGUUGGCAACUAGGGACAAGGGUUUCGCUCGUUAAGGGACUUAACCCGACAUCUCACGACACGAGCUGACGACAGCCAUGCAGCACCUGGACAUCCAGUUCCCUUGCGGGCACAUCCACGUCUCUGCGGACUUCUCGAGGCUUUCCCCUGCAUGUCAAGCCCAGGUAAGGUUCUUCGCGUUGCGUCGAAUUAAACCACAUGCUCCACCGCUUGUGCGGGCCCCCGUCAAUUCCUUUGAGUUUCAGCCUUGCGGCCGUACUCCCCAGGCGGGGCACUUAAUGCGUUAGCGCCGGCACCCAGGGGGUCGCUCCCCCAGGCACCUAGUGCCCAUCGUUUACGGCGUGGACUAC
rnacentral:misc_RNA from 1 species